rnacentral:rRNA from 1 species
CAGUAGCCGCGGGAAUACAGAGGGUGCGAGCGUUAAUCGGAUUUACUGGGCGUAAAGCGUGCGUAGGCGGCUUUUUAAGUCGGAUGUGAAAUCCCUGAGCUUAACUUAGGAAUUGCAUUCGAUACUGGGAAGCUAGAGUAUGGGAGAGGAUGGUAGAAUUCCAGGUGUAGCGGUGAAAUGCGUAGAGAUCUGGAGGAAUACCGAUGGCGAAGGCAGCCAUCUGGCCUAAUACUGACGCUGAGGUACGAAAGCAUGGGGAGCAAACAGGAUUAGAUACCCGGGUAGUCCCUGUCCUCUUAUA